rnacentral:rRNA from 1 species
CUACGGGAGGCAGCAGUGGGGAAUAUUGGACAAUGGCCGAAAGCCUGACCCAGCAACGCCGCGUGGAGGAUGAAGGCCUUCGGGUCGUAAACUUCUUUUGCAGGAGAAGAGAAAGGACGGUAUCCUGCGAAUAAGCCACGGCUAACUACGUGCCAGCAGCCGCGGUAAAACGUAGGUGGCGAGCGUUAUCCGGAUUUACUGGGCGUAAAGAGCUUGUAGGCGGUCUUGUAUGUUGGGCGUGAAAGCCCCGGGCUUAACUCGGGGAGGCCGUUCAAUACUGCAGGGCUAGAGGAUGUCAGAGGGAGAUGGAAUUCCUGGUGUAGCAGUGAAAUGCGUAGAUAUCAGGAGGAACACCCGUGGCGAAGGCGGUCUCCUGGGGCAUUCCUGGCGCUGAGAAGCGAAAGCUAGGGGAGCGAACGGGAUUAGAAACCCGAGUAGUCC